CACGAUAUUUUUAUAAUCAAACAG
rnacentral:siRNA from 1 species